CGGACGGGUGAGUAACGCGUGGGUAACCUGCCUCAUACGGGGGAUAACGAUUGGAAACGAUUGCUAAUACCGCAUAAGCGCACAGCACCACAUGGUGCAGUGUGAAAAACUCCGGUGGUAUAAGAUGGACCCGCGUUGGAUUAGCUAGUUGGUGAGGUAACGGCCCACCAAGGCGACGAUCCAUAGCCGGCCUGAGAGGGUGAACGGCCACAUUGGGACUGAGACACGGCCCAG
rnacentral:rRNA from 1 species